CGCUCUUGUUUCUCCUCAGAUCGUAUAAAUCUUUCGCCUUUUACUAAAGAUUUCCGUGGGGAGGAACAUCAAGAGUAUAACUUAAUUUUUUGAAGCCCCGCUUCACGGCGAGGCC
rnacentral:snRNA from 1 species